rnacentral:rRNA from 1 species
AGUGAACGCUGGCGGUAGGCCUAACACAUGCAAGUCGAACGGCAGCACAGUAAGAGCUUGCUCUUACGGGUGGCGAGUGGCGGACGGGUGAGGAAUACAUCGGAAUCUACUUUUUCGUGGGGGAUAACGUAGGGAAACUUACGCUAAUACCGCAUACGACCUACGGGUGAAAGCAGGGGAUCUUCGGACCUUGCGCGAUUGAAUGAGCCGAUGUCGGAUUAGCUAGUUGGCGGGGUAAAGGCCCACCAAGGCGACGAUCCGUAGCUGGUCUGAGAGGAUGAUCAGCCACACUGGAACUGAGACACGGUCCAGACCCCUACGGGAGGCAGCAGUGGGGAAUAUUGGACAAUGGGCGCAAGCCUGAUCCAGCCAUACCGCGUGGGUGAAGAAGGCCUUCGGGUUGUAAAGCCCUUUUGUUGGGAAAGAAAAGCAGCAGGUUAAUACCCCGCUGUUCUGACGGUACCCAAAGAAUAGGCACCGGCUAACUUCGUG